rnacentral:rRNA from 1 species
UACGUAGGGCGCAAGCGUUGUCCGGAAUUAUUGGGCGUAAAGAGCUCGUAGGCGGUCUGUCGCGUCGGAUGUGAAAGCCCGGGGCUUAACUCAGAACGGUCAACUGAUACUGUCGGGCUAGAGUGCAGAAGGGGCAACUGGAAUUCUCGGUGUAGCGGUGAAAUGCGUAGAUAUCGAGAGGAACACCUGCGGCGAAGGCGGGUUGCUGGGCUGACACUGACGCUGAGGCGCGAAAGCUAGGGGAGCGAACGGG